rnacentral:lncRNA from 1 species
CGCCAUCGUCAGUGUCUCCUCCUCGUUUUUUUCUGUCGACCCGUGCGGAGCGUUGCAUAGGGGAGUUUUCGUCCGCGCAAAAAGACGAGCGCCUCCUCCCGGAAGGACGCAUCUCGUGAGACAAACGAUAUGACAAGUUCCUGCUUAGGUAGGGGCGUCAAAAAGGCAAUAGCUACUUCCGAAACGUUUACCGAAACACCGGUAAGAGAAACACUGCUACCUGCUGACGUAGUUUUCUGUUCGUAGUGGCUUGUCGUGUUGAUGUAGAUUACCGCAAAUUGUUAUUUUACUCCGUGGAUGAGACAAGCCGGAGCGGGUUUCUUGGUUUGCCCAUCUUUAUGCCAACCUAUUCUUGUAACCCUUUAUUCUCCUCUUUCCCGGCUCACCUCGAUUUAUUAUACUUGGCAUUGUUUUCGCUGCUACUUCCGCUGCUCUCUCUGCCUAGCCUGACUUGCAGCAAAAGAACAGCGCAACCAACAUUUUUCCUACUUUAAGUUUUGUAUCUCUCAAGAGCAAUCCGUUGAAUUUGUAACGUACUCCGUUCUACAAAUGUCUUGCAAAAAUCUAGUCAUGCUGCUGAUACUGAGGUAACGCAUCGUUCCAUUUAUGUCUUGCCGCCCAUUUCCUGAGAGUCUAAGCCGACCCGUGUUGCUCCGUCCUGCCCUGUCUUGUGCUGCCUUUUAGUCCUAACCCUGCAGCUUACGGUACUGCCGGUGUCAGCUGUAAUAGUAGUAGUACCAUUGAUAGCUAUGAUGGCCUUGGCUGAGACACUUAGUGCUCUGUCGGACAUGGGAGCCUUCAUUUUGCCGUUUGCUUACACUGAGGUCCGUCCUUCCCUGUUUUUUCGUCGUCUUCCAACACGCCGUCGGGUCCGCCCCCGUAGCCCCCGUUACUCGCUGCUGCGCUGCGCCGCGGCCCCGUUUCGUUCUGUGGCUCAUACAGACGGACUGACUCAAUAGCUUCGACGUUCGUUCGCUCCGAUUGGCAGCAAUAACGAUGAGCAAAUUAUUCCGACGACGUUAUCAAUUCCCAAGAAGUCUGUAAGGCAAAACUUGCUAGACCGGUCAGGUCGCUUGCAAGGGAAGUCCUUGCAAAAUAACGGAUCUGCUCGAAUUUGAAUUCCCGAUACGCGUUGUCGUUUCGCUUCGUCCCAUCGUCUUGCUGGUUUGACGGUGUCGUGAGACCUUGUCCGCAAGACAAUCGCUUUAGCGAAGAGUGAGCUGCUAGAAUAGUACUCAACAAACAGUUAAAGGAAUAGCCAACCAACGCUCGGCUGGCAACCGUUCAUCCCUUGGGAGGCCACGAGAAUUUGCCACUACCAACCUGACGCAUGAACCAAAAGCAGAUUUCAUCUCCGAAGCACUGAAGACUCUUAAAGGAGGCCUUAGGAAAAGAGGCUUUCCAUGCUGGUUCUCUUCUCGGCACCCACGCUCAAAGCCCCGAAGACGCGAAGGCAGGCAAAAGCAGACAAUAUCGGUGAAAGCUUGACUGCAGUGCCUCCGUCGAGGUGGGCCAACGAGAGGAAGCUCGUGUACGGAAUAUUAUUCGAUGUGUAUGCGAAGUUCGAGACUUGGCCAAAGGGACCCAUGAGACCGGAAACAUCGAAAUUCGUCAGAGGAAAGACUGUUUCGCGAUUUUACUACCGAAAAGUACCACUAUAACUAGAGCAGAUCAGCUGGCACAAUCAGCCCUGUAUACGAUGAUCUAAAACCGUCAGCCGGUUCUCGUUUGACGGUCAACAGAAUCGCGCGGUCAGAUCAAUUAGUAUAUCCAUCGACGACAGAAAGUGUACGGAAUUCGAGGGACGCCCAGUAGUUUCCUCAUCACCUGGUUUCAGCCAAAUUCCGAACAAAUUCUUGAGACGAGAAAUAUUGACGGUGAAUGCGACUGGCUCGCUGCCGAAACACUAAUUUAUCGGAACGGCCUUCACCUUGGCUAUUUUCGCUGCUGAAGCCUGGUCGGUCAGCCACUUGUCGUUGUUGGCUUUCGACAAAGAGACGGCUAUGCCGCGAUGCUAGAGCCCUGUUCCCAGUGUUACUAACCUAAGAAACCGCUUAGAAGGCGAUCCGCUACCACAAUUGCUGAAUUUAGGAAUAUUUUUUCGGCAGAAACAAGUAGGCAACCAUCUAACUUAGUAGUUUUCUAUAAAUUUCCUUUGUAAGCGACCGUCAUAAGUGCAACGGCGAUCUUCAUCGGAAGCGAGUGUUGCUUAGCAGCGCAAUCCUUCUCCAUUUCGGUGACGAUCACAGGCCACAGUAGCAGUAACGCUCAAUGUGGCUGCGUCACAAUGUUUCCCUAAAAGCCAAUUCCUUCGGUGACUUGAUGCGAGUUCGGGCUUGCUAGACGAGUCCUUUUUUUUCACUCACUGCACUUGUGUCAGUAGGUCGGUCGGUUCCUGAAUUCUUUUUGCUUUGUUUGGUCCUAUUUUCCUACUGCCGAAAGACGACUGUAGAAUUUUUUUCUUUUCUUCUAUACUAAUUCAUUGAUGAGCUGGCCUAGUGACUAGUUGGUGUUCUUCUUCCAUAAAACGUCAGUUAUCGCCCGCGCACACACUCUUUCUAGAUCUUGCCUCUUUAUUCUUAAACAACCUUUUCAUAUGGGCUUGCCUUUAAAGCCGUUCUGCUUCGUCAACACUUGCAGCCCACGCAAGUCUCGGCCAUGAUCCUUGGCCAAUAACGCGGCGCAGUAAAGGACGCGACGCGGCAAUUCGCCUGCGUAGAAUAAUGCGUCUACGGUGCGUUUGCAUUGGACCGCUGCCAUCCGAAGGAUCUAACUUUUAAUAGAUAAGUAGCUGUUAUUGUUUAUACCAUUAAAGUGAGGUCGAGGCGGCAUCCCGAUUGGGCAUCAAUUUGAGGUGUGGAAUGACUGUAUUAUAGAAAGCCAGCUGUCCUUUAGGUUCUCGACGCGAAGUAAGCGGAAUUAAUGAGUUGCCUCGACUCCAAGAAGCGUUCCACUUCUCAUAGCUGGUCAAAUUUCGGGAAGAAUUUUUGCGACGAAAACAUUUUUAACUCGUGAGUUGGUUGGUGGAGCUAUUCGUCAAUUUCAACAAUACCCCGGUAAAUCGCUGGCGGUGACUGAUAAGUCGAAUGUCACUAAAUAUAAAUAACAUUAGACAAGUUCCUUUUAAAGAUUGAAUACCAAAUUAGAGCAGCAUUGGCUGUUGCUCUUCAAUGAUGGCUACUAUGCUUUUGUAAACAGACAUACGUUCUGAAUCUGUCUAGUACUCGAACUGGAAUCGGCUAAAAAAAAAAUGUGAAACAGGA